UACGGGGGGGGCAAGCGUUGUUCGGAAUUACUGGGCGUAAAGGGCUCGUAGGUGGCCAACUAAGUCAGACGUGAAAUCCCCAGGCUCAACUUGGGAACUGCGUCUGAUACUGGAUGGCUUGAAUUCGGGAGAGGGAUGCAGAAUUCCAGGUGUAGCGGUGAAAUGCGUAGAUAUCUGGAGGAAUACCGGUGGCGAAGGCGACUACCUGGCCUGUUCUUGACGCUGAGGCGCGAAAGCUAGGGGAGCAAACGGG
rnacentral:rRNA from 1 species